UACGUAGGGUGCGAGCGUUGUCCGGAAUUAUUGGGCGUAAAGAGCUUGUAGGCGGUUUGUCGCGUCUGCUGUGAAAAUCCGGGGCUCAACCCCGGACUUGCAGUGGGUACGGGCAGACUGGAGUGUGGUAGGGGAGAUCGGAAUUCCUGGUGUAGCGGUGAAAUGCGCAGAUAUCAGGAGGAACACCGGUGGCGAAGGCGGAUCUCUGGGCCAUUACUGACGCUGAGGAGCGAAAGCGUGGGGAGCAAACAGG
rnacentral:rRNA from 1 species